GAAUUUUGGUCAAUGGGCGAUAGCCUGACCCAGCAACGCCGCGUGUGGGAUGAAGGCCCUCGGGUCGUAAACCACUGUCUGGAGGAAAGAAAAGUCGGCCGGAUAAUACUCGGUCGACCUGACGGUCCCUCCAAAGGAAGCACCGGCUAACUCCGUGCCAGCAGCCGCGGUAAUACGGAGGGUGCAAGCGCUGUUCGGACUUACUGGGCGUAAAGCGCGUGUAGGUGGUUCGGUAAGUCGAAUGUGAAAGCCCCGGGCUCAACCCGGGAAGUGCAUCCGAAACUGCCGAACUAGAGUUCCGGAGAGGAAGGCAGAAUUCCCAAUGUAGGGGUGAAAUCCGUAGAUAUUGGGAGGAAUACCGGUGGCGAAGGCGGCCUUCUGGACGGUGACUGACACUCAGACGCGAAAGCGUGGGGAGCAAACAGG
rnacentral:rRNA from 1 species